GACGCUGUGAUCCUUCGGGGUGACUUGGUGCCGACGAGUGGCGGACGGGUGAGUAAUGCUUAGGAAUCUGCCCAGUAGUGGGGGACAACACGGGGAAACUCGUGCUAAUACCGCAUACGCCUUACGAGGGAAAGUGGGGGAUCUUCGGACCUCACGCUAUUGGAUGAGCCUAAGUCGGAUUAGCUUGUUGGUGAGGUAAUGGCUCACCAAAGCGACAAUCCGUAGCUGGUCUGAGAGGACGAUCAGCCACACUGGGACUGAGACACGGCCCAGACUCCUACGGGAGGCAGCAGUGGGGAAUAUUGGACAAUGGGGGCAACCCUGAUCCAGCAAUACCGCGUGUGUGAAGAAGGCCUGCGGGUUGUAAAGCACUUUCAGUAGAGAAGAAACUGUUUGAGGUUAAUACCCUCAGACCUUGACGUAACCUACAGAAGAAGCACCGGCUAACUCCGUGCCAGCAGCCGCGGUAAUACGGAGGGUGCAAGCGUUAAUCGGAAUUACUGGGCGUAAAGCGCGCGUAGGCGGUCUGGUCAGUCGGAUGUGAAAGCCCCGGGCUUAACCUGGGAAUUGCAUUCGAUACUGCCAAACUAGAAUGUUGGAGAGGGAAGUGGAAUUUCCGGUGUAGCGGUGAAAUCCGUAGAGAUCGGAAGGAACACCAGUGGCGAAGGCGGCUUCCUGGCCAAACAUUGACGCUGAGGUGCGAAAGCGUGGGUAGCGAACAGGAUUAGAUACCCUGGUAGUCCACGCCGUAAACGAUGAGAACUAGAUGUCGGGAGGGUUUAGCCUCUCGGUGUCGCAGCUAACGCGUUAAGUUCUCCGCCUGGGGAGUACGGUGGCAACACUAAACUCAAAGGAAUUGGCGGGGACCCGCACAAGCGGUGGAGCAUGUGGUUUAAUUCGAUGCAACGCGAAGAACCUUACCUGCCCUUGACAUUGAC
rnacentral:rRNA from 1 species